GGGAAUGUUCGGCCGGUGAGCUGUAUAAGGCCAGGGAAAUCGUUUGGUCUGGCCCUAGCCAAGGCAUUAGGGGACAUUGCUUUGGUGCCAUGUAACUUUCAGGAGCUGGCUCUGUGUCAUCCUCUGAUACUGCAAUGACCACCUGGAGCUCAGAGUCAGUCUACACUAGGAUGACCUUCCAUCUUUACUGGCGGCCAGGUGGAGAUGCACCAGGUUCCCCAAGAACAUGAGAUGUGAGAGGGCAGCCCCCUUUUCUGCACGGCUGCUCUUCUGGAGGCUCUCUGCUCAGGACUCAUGCCUCUGCACCACUAGGAGCACUGGGCCACCUUCCCCUGUGCCACCUGCCUGCAGAAACAGCCGGGUACCAGCAAACCAAAGCUCAGCCACUGCCCUAUCAUUCUGCCUUGGUGGAUUCUGAUUUAGAGGUAAUCCCACAGAUGGUAGUACACCAAAUGUCUGAACCUGUGUAUUAUAGUCUUGAUUUCCCUGACAACAAAUAUCGGGGUUCCAACCUUUCAAAGCUAAUUACCUUGAUUAAAUCCGCAAGUUUGAUAUCCCAUGGAUAGAAUCAAAAUAUAUUUUA